AUUGAACGCUGGCGGCAGGCCUAACACAUGCAAGUCGAGCGGAUGAAGGGAGCUUGCUCCUGGAUACAGCGGCGGACGGGUGAGUAAUGCCUAGGAAUCUCCCUGGUAGUGGGGGAUAACGUCCGGAAACGGGCGCUAAUACCGCAUACGUCCUGAGGGAGAAAGUGGGGGAUCUUCGGACCUCACGCUAUCAGAUGAGCCUAGGUCGGAUUAGCUAGUUGGUGGGGUAAAGGCCUACCAAGGCGACGAUCCGUAACUGGUCUGAGAGGAUGAUCAGUCACACUGGAACUGAGACACGGUCCAGACUCCUACGGGAGGCAGCAGUGGGGAAUAUUGGACAAUGGGCGAAAGCCUGAUCCAGCCAUGCCGCGUGUGUGAAGAAGGUCUUCGGAUUGUAAAGCACUUUAAGUUGGGAGGAAGGGCAGUAAGUUAAUACCUUGCUGUUUUGACGUUACCAACAGAAUAAGCACCGGCUAACUUCGUG
rnacentral:rRNA from 1 species